rnacentral:rRNA from 1 species
CCUACGGGAGGCAGCAGUGAGGAAUAUUGGUCAAUGGGUGCGAGCCUGAACCAGCCACGUAGCGUGAAUGAUGACUGCCCUACGUGUUGUAAACUUCUUUUAUAGAGGAGUAAAGUGAGGCACGUGUGCCUUUUUGUAUGUACUUUAUGAAUAAGGCUCGGCUAACUCCGUGCCAGCAGCCGCGGUAAUACGGAGGAUCCGGGGGUUAUCCGGAUGUAUUGGGUUAAAAGGGUGCGUAGGCGGACUGUUAGGUCAGCGGUAAAAGCCCGGGGUUCAACCCCGGCGAGCCGUUGAAACUGGGUGGCUGGAGAGGUCGAGAGGUAUGCGGAAUGCGCAGUGUAGCGGUGAAAUGCUUAGAUAUUGCGCAGAACUCCGAUGGCGAAGGCAGCAUACCGGCGGCGAUCUGACGCUGAGGCACGAAAGCGUGGGUAGCGAACAGGAUUAGAUACCCGUGUAGUC